ACGCACACGCUACGCGGCCCUGUUGCUGCGCCAGGACGCUACACGCUAACCCGACGCCAACAAGCCCGAGCCGUCCUCCUCGCUCGCCUGCGCCUGCCUGUCUCCGCUCGAUUCCCCGCCGUCUCUCUCUCUCUCUCUCUCUCUUCCAGCGCCGCAUCACGCCGUCACCCCCAUUCAUCCUCAUCCCCAGCCUCCCCUCCCGCGCCGCGCUCUUUCCACGGCCGAUUCCACCUCUCCUUCUCUACUCUCCAAGUAUCGUUUCCCUUCCCUCGGGAUAUUUCUGCUGCUAUUUCUGGUGGGCGAGGUGGCGUGACGCCGGCGACUUGGUCCCCGAAGACUUGCCGAGAGAUCCUUGGGUGGAUCGGGUUUGCGCGGGGGCGGAGACCUUGAACGAUGCAUAGGGAGGUGGGGCCGCAGGUGGCCCCCCCGCUGUUCCUGCACCAGAUCCAGCCGCUGCCUCCCCAUGCUGCCGCGGCGAAGAAGCGCGGCCACCCGUGGCCCGCCGGUGCCUCCGUGGCGCCGGCCAAGGCGCCGGUGGCGGAAGCUGGCGGCGGGGGGAACUGGAACCCCAGGAUGUGGGACUGGGACAGCCGCGCGCUCACCGCGAGGCCGUCCCCCGAUGCGCUCCGCCUCGGUGGCGGUGGCGUGCAGAGCCAGCAGCAGCAACCUGCGGCGGCGAAGGCAGCUGAGGCGCUGCCGCUGCGGCAGGGGGGCGGGGGUAGCGGCGAGCUAAAUCUUCAGCUCGGCCUGCGGGAGGACGCCGCGACCCCGAUGGAUACGAGCGGGCCGGCUCCCAUGGCGUCGUCUCCUUCUCCACCUGCUUCGGCUGCGGCGGGGCAGGAGCCGGUUGUUAGGCCCAGCAAGCGGGUCCGGUCUGGAUCACCGGGGAGCGCUGGGGGAUCAGGUGGGGGUGGGGCUGCAAACGGAGGAGGGAGCUACCCGGUGUGCCAGGUGGAUGACUGCCGUGCGGAUCUGACCAGCGCCAAGGAUUAUCACAGGAGGCACAAGGUUUGCGAGAUCCACAGCAAGACCACCAAAGCGCUGGUCGCCAACCAGAUGCAGCGCUUCUGCCAGCAGUGUAGUAGAUUUCACCCACUCGCGGAGUUUGAUGAGGGUAAGAGGAGCUGCAGACGUAGGCUCGCCGGCCACAACCGGCGAAGAAGAAAAACCCAGCGGACGGAUGUCGCAUCACAGUUGCUGCUACCUGGAAACCAAGAAAAUGCAGCAAAUAGGACACAAGAUAUUGUCAAUCUGAUUACAGUUAUUGCACGCUUGCAAGGUACUAACGUUGGUAAAGUACCUAGCAUCCCUCCCAUACCCGAUAAACAGAAUCUGGUUGAAAUUAUAAGCAAAAUAAAUUCAUUGAACAACACAAACUCUGUGGCAAAGUCUCCUCCAUUGGAACCUGUUGAUUUGAAUGCUUCACACGGGCAAGAACAGGAGGAUUCUGUGCAAAAGACAACAAACGGAAUCGACAAGCAAACUGUGCCUUCAACCAUGGACUUGCUAGGAGUUUUAUCAACUGGCCUUGCGACUUCAACCCCUGAGACAAAUGCAUCUCAGUCCCAAGGGAGCAGUGACAGCAGUGGUAAUAACAAGAGCAAGAGUCAUUCAACAGAGCCGGCUACUGUUGUAAAUUCAGAUGAUAAAUCAAUCCGAGCUUUUCCUGCUGCUGAUUUGAUGAGAAACAACAGCACUCACGAAAGUCAACCUCAUAUAUACAAGCAGACAGACCAAGAAACUCAGCCAUACUUGUCGCUGCAGUUGUUUGGUAGUACUGAGGAGGACAUUCCUCCUAAGAUGGACUCUGCAAAUAAGUACUUAUCUUCUGAGAGUAGUAAUCCUUUGGAUGAGAGAUCUCCUUCGUCCUCUCCACCUAUAACCCACAAAUUUUUCCCCAUACAAAAUUCGGUAGACGGAGAGGUUAGGCACCCUUGUAAUGCAGACUAUGGGGAAGAUGCGGCAAUGGUUGAGGUUAGCACAAGUCGGGCAUGGUGUGCACCAUCGCUUGGCCUCUUUAAGGAUCCGGGUCGGCCAAUUGAGAAUGGAUCGCCACCAAAUCCUGGGUACCAGUCAUGUUAUGCCUCAACAUCUUGUUCGGACCAUUCACCUUCAAGCUCAAACUCAGAUGGACAGGUAGAUCGGACUGGUAGGAUUAUAUUCAAGCUAUUUGGCAAGGAACCUGGCACGAUCCCUGGGAACCUUCGUGGUGAGAUAAUAAAUUGGCUCAAACACAGCCCUACUGAAAUGGAGGGAUACAUUCGCCCAGGUUGCCUUGUACUAUCCAUGUACCUAUCAAUGCCACCUAUUGCAUGGGAUGAACUUGAAGAAAAUCUUCUCCAGAGAGUAAACACAUUAGUUCAAAGUUCUGAUUUGGAUUUCUGGAGAAAAGGAAGGUUUUUAGUUCGAACUGAUACCCAGUUGGUAUCAUAUAAAGAUGGAAUGACCCAUUUAUCGAAAUCAUGGAAAACUUGGAAUACCCCUGAGUUGACAUUUGUAUCACCAAUUGCUGUUGUUGGUGGGAGAAAGACCUCCCUAGUUCUUAAGGGCCGUAAUCUAACAAUUCCUGGAACCCAGAUCCACUGUACCAGUACAGGGAAGUACAUAUCCAAAGAAGUUCUAUGCUCAGCAUAUCCAGGUACCAUAUAUGAUGAUUCAGGCGUUGAGACCUUUGACUUGCCAGGAGAACCACAUCUUAGUCUUGGCCGUUGCUUUAUUGAGGUGGAGAACAGGUUCAGGGGUAACAGUUUCCCUGUUAUUGUUGCAAAUUCAAGUGUUUGUCAGGAGUUGCGAAACCUUGAAGUUGAGCUCGAAGAUUCUCAAUUUCAUGAUGUCUCUUCAGAUGAUCAUGUUCAUGACCCUAGGCAGUCGAAGCCAAGGGAUCAAGUUCUGCACUUUCUUAACGAACUUGGCUGGCUCUUCCAGAGGGCUGCCUGCACACAUUCCACUAGAUCUGAUGUUUCUGAUCCGGAUUUGAUUCAGUUCUCCAUGACACGGUUCAAACACCUUUUGUUGUUCUCUAGUGAGCGUGACUGGUGCUCUCUUACUAGAACACUUCUGGAUAUACUUGCCAAGAGAAGCUUGGUCAGCAAAGAACUAUCACAGGAAACUCUGGAGAUGCUCUCAGAGAUUCAUCUCCUGAACAGAGCCGUGAAAAGAAAGAGUAGCCGCAUGGUGCAUUUGCUCAUACAGUUUGUUGUAAUUUGCCCUGAUAAUUCCAACCUGUACCCCUUCCUUCCAAACGUUCCUGGCCCAGGUGGCUUGACUCCGUUACAUCUGGCAGCAUCCAUCGAGAAUGCUGAGGAUAUAAUUGAUGCCUUGACAGAUGAUCCUCAACAGAUUGGUUUGAGCUGCUGGCAGUCAGUACUAGAUGAUGAUGGCCAAUCUCCUGAAACAUAUGCCAAGUUGAGGAACCAUAAUUCCUAUAAUGAGCUUGUAGCGCAAAAGCUGGUGGACAGGAAGAACAGCCAGUUUACCAUAAGGAUUGAUAAAGAUGAAAUUCAUACGGAUCAGUCAGGAAAUGCUGGUGACUAUAAUAAAUCAGGGUUUCAAGCAUUGCAAAUAAGAUCUUGCUCCCAAUGCGCCAUUUUGGAGUCUGGUGUGCUAAGGCAGCCUUUGCGGUCACGAGGAUUGCUUGCUCGGCCCUAUGUCCACUCAAUGCUUGCCAUAGCUGCAGUCUGUGUUUGUGUCUGUGUUUUCAUGCGAGCUUUGCUGCGGUUUAAUUCUGGUAGAUCCUUCAAGUGGGAAAGGAUAAAUUUUGGUACAAUAUAAACGUUGGCAGUUGGGGACACCUUAGCCAUGUGGUAUUAUGUAUUAUUAAGUUAACAACCAGCGGGCAUGGAACCGAAUAGUUAUUUUAACCGCUUGUGUUUCCUUGAAGCUGCUGUAUCCAUGGGUGAGUGUCAGAAUGUCAUUGACAAGGACAACACCCUCUUGGGAAAAAAGUGGUUGAUUGCGCAGUUCUGGCAAUGUUAGAUGCUCUGCAAGGAAGUUCAAGGAAAGUUAGCACAACCCUUUCAAAGGGUGGAACUUGGGCAGAGUUCGGCUUGUUUUUGUGAUGAGGAAUGUAGCAACUGCACUCCCACAAGACGGGAUGGAUGUAUUCACAGUUCUGGGAUAAAUGAUUGAUACAGAUGGUUGCUCUGUUGAAACACUAUGAAAACAGUUUUGCAUCUAGCUUUUGGGGGCAUUUGGGCACAUCGUUCGCAUUGUGCGUUAUCCUGAUGGAUGCGUGACGUGAAUGAGAUGCCUUUCGUGGCUCUUUUCCGACGGCGCCGUGUGUGGAUCGCGCCGGGAACACGGCGGUGAGAUUCUGGCGAGUGGUUGGAGCAGCAGCAAGCUUGCAGCCGAGGGCGACAUCACCAUCCACCAGCCCUGUACCAUGGGUGACAUGCACAGCUUGAAACGGUGCCUUUUCCGGCAUUGGCACCACAGCAGGUCGCACUUGCGCGAGGUGCAUGCACGCACGGCUCAAAUUGCACGGCCGAUGGCUUUCUAGCUUUCCACAUGGCUGUCGGAAUGGGCAAUUGCUGAGCACGUUCGUGAACGAUGCCAGUGCCAACCCCCUUGCCGUCGAGCAGUGAUGGAUGGGGUCGCCAUGACACGGUCCGUGCACCUUUGCUUUGCGUUCUUGUGGCGCCUGGCGAGAGCACGUGAGCCCUUUUUAGUGCAGCAAAGCAGCUGCAGACUCGUUCCGUCGACCAAUGGCGACGGACCGAUGGCACGUCCUUGGUAUUCACGGGUGGAUGGUGCUGAUCCAAUCCGUCGCAGCACGUACGCCUAACAAGAUGGACCACUGACCACGUCGUUGCCUGCGGACGCCACCCCAACCCAAGGCCAUACCAUACAUGAUGUGAGGACAUUUUUUUGAACUGCCCCAACUUACUUUUUUUUUUUUUUGAACUGCCCCAACUUGGAGUCUUAUCGUUCGACUCCUCCUUGGAGUCUUAUCACCGGGCUCCAUGCCCGUCCAUGAUGCGAGGACAUCACGAGGAGGUUAUGGUCCGUA